CAAGAUCUAUUUUAAUCAUAAAAUACUGGUGUGUCACACUAGAGAGAGCUAUUCGCUGAUCUUGA
rnacentral:tRNA from 1 species